rnacentral:rRNA from 1 species
GAUGAACGCUGGCGGCGUGCCUAAUACAUGCAAGUCGAGCGAAUGGAUUAAGAGCUUGCUCUUAUGAAGUUAGCGGCGGACGGGUGAGUAACACGUGGGUAACCUGCCCAUAAGACUGGGAUAACUCCGGGAAACCGGGGCUAAUACCGGAUAACAUUUUGAAACGCAUGGUUCGAAAUUGACAGGCGGCUUCGGCUGUCACUUAUGGAUGGACCCGCGUCGCAUUAGCUAGUUGGUGAGGUAACGGCCAACCAAGGCAACGAUGCGUAGCCGACCUGAGGGGGUGAUCGGCCACACUGGGACUGAGACACGGCCCAGACUCCUACGGGAGGCAGCAGUAGGGAAUCUUCCGCAAUGGACGAAAGUCUGACGGAGCAACGCCGCGUGAGUGAUGAAGGCUUUCGGGUCGUAAAACUCUGUUGUUAGGGAAGAACAAGUGCUAGUUGAAUAAGCUGGCACCUUGACGGUACCUAACCAGAAAGCCACGGCUAACUACGUGCCAGCCGCCGCCGUAA